GAUGAACGCUAGCUACAGGCUUAACACAUGCAAGUCGAGGGGCAGCAUGGUCUUAGCUUGCUAAGGCCGAUGGCGACCGGCGCACGGGUGAGUAACGCGUAUCCAACCUGCCUUACACUCUUGGACAGCCUUCUGAAAGGGAGAUUAAUACAAGAUGUUAUCAUGAGUAAGCAUUUUCGCAUGAUUAAAGGUUUACCGGUGUAAGAUGGGGAUGCGUUCCAUUAGAUAGUAGGCGGGGUAACGGCCCACCUAGUCUUCGAUGGAUAGGGGUUCUGAGAGGAAGGUCCCCCACAUUGGAACUGAGACACGGUCCAAACUCCUACGGGAGGCAGCAGUGAGGAAUAUUGGUCAAUGGACGAGAGUCUGAACCAGCCAAGUAGCGUGAAGGAUGAAGGUUCUAUGGAUUGUAAACUUCUUUUAUACGGGAAUAAACGGAUCCACGCGUGGAUUUCUGCAUGUACCGUAUGAAUAAGGAUCGGCUAACUCCGUGCCAGCAGCCGCGGUAAUACGGAGGAUCCGAGCGUUAUCCGGAUUUAUUGGGUUUAAAGGGAGCGUAGAUGGGUUGUUAAGUCAGUUGUGAAAGUUUGCGGCUCAACCGUAAAAUUGCAAUUGAUACUGGAUGUCUUGAGUGCAGUUGAGGCAGGCGGAAUUCGUGGUGUAGCGGUGAAAUGCUUAGAUAUCACGAAGAACUCCGAUUGCGAAGGCAGCCUGCUAAGCUGCAACUGACAUUGAGGCUCGAAAGUGUGGGUAUCAAACAGGAUU
rnacentral:rRNA from 1 species